GAUGAACGCUGGCGGCGUGCCUAAUACAUGCAAGUCGAGCGAACAGAUGAGGAGCUUGCUCCUCUGACGUUAGCGGCGGACGGGUGAGUAACACGUGGAUCACCUACCUAUAAGACUGGGAUAACUUCGGGAAACCGGAUCUAAUACCGGAUAAUAUCUUGAACCGCAUGGUUCAAUAGUGAAAUACGGUUUUGCUGUCACUUAUAGAUGGAUCCGUGCUGCAUUAGGUAGUUGGUAAGGUAACGGCUUACCAAGGCAACGAUGCGUAGCCGACCUGAGAGAGUGAUCGCCCACACUGGAACUGAAACACGCUCAAUACUACUACGAGAGGCAGCAGAAUGCAAUCUUCCGCAAUAGGCGAAAACAUUACGGAACAACGCCACGUGAGUUAUGAAGAUCUUCGGAUCGUAAAACUCUGUUAUUAGUUAAAAACAAAUUUAUAAUUAACUAAACACGUAUUGACGGUACCUAAUCAAAAAGCAACGGCUAACUACGUG
rnacentral:rRNA from 1 species